CCCUUAGAUGUUCUGGGCUGCACCCGUGCUACACUGGCAGGUUCAGCGAGCUUCAUGCCCUGAUCUGAAAGGAAUGGGAAAUCUUUUCAAAACCUGCCGUGCUUGGGAUAGAUGUUUGCAAUUAUUCAUCUUCAACGAGGAUUGCCUUGUAAGCGCACGUCAUCAGCGUGCAUUGAAUACGACCCUGUAUUCUGUACACACCGCCCGUUGCUCCUACCGAUUGAAGUUUUCGGUGAGUUGACAGGAGGAUUUUUUUGAAACUGGUUCGCCAGUGGAUUUUAGAUCCAAAUGCCAACGAAUCGAUGGCUUUAGAGGAAGGAGAAGUCGUAACA
rnacentral:rRNA from 1 species